ACGCCCCUCUCCGGCGGCAUCAACGUGGGUUCAGAAAACCCUAUCGCUGAGGAAGGACGUUCGAAGCUUUUAUAGCCCCCGAAGAGUUAGAGGCCGCAACGGCCAAUAGGCCUGGCCCACUGGUCUAGCUGUAUGCGGGCCGGUUAAUGAACUGGGCUCUCACACAUAAUGCCACGCAAAUUAGAUGAAUAUACAUAUAACAAUUCACAGCGACAAAUGUGUUCUAUUGCACUAAUGCAUGCACUGCAAAGUUCUUUUGUUUCAUGUCUUGCAUAAUAGUUGCUUCGGUGGGAUAAAAGAAAGAUUUAGAAGUCAGAGAAAGAUAACUGGCUAUUAGCUUGUUUUGCAAUGGAUGCUAUAAUUGCUCUUCAAGUUCAACACAUGGUUUUUUUCAUUUUGAAUGUCAAGAGUGCAAUAGUUGGAUACCUAAGUCCAAUGUGCCUCUUGCAAAUUAUGUUCAUGCGGUUUAUAGAAGUUGGAUGCAUUUCCCCCUAGGUUUAUCGGAUGGUGAUUGGGAAACCUAAUUUUAACUCAAAGGAGUCGUGACCCGACCAAUCCAGAUCCUCAACCCAGAAGACAUGCAACCAGUUGCUACCAUGACACCCGGGCAAAGGAAAAAAAAAAAGAAGAAAAAUAUAAGCCCAGUUAUAAGGGCAGUCUUGUCAAAGUUUUGAGUGACGAGGGUCAUAGGCUAGAAAGUAU
rnacentral:lncRNA from 1 species